UAANCAUGCAAGUCGAACGGACCCGCAAGGGUUAGUGGCGAAAGGGUGAGUAAAAGUAUUCAACGUACCCCGAGGUGGGGGAUAGGCAGGGGAAACCCGGCAUAAUACCCCAUGAUCUCUACGGAGCAAAGAUUUAUCGCCUUGGGAGCGGGAAUACACCUAUCAGGUAGUUGGUGAGGUAAUGGCUCACCAAGCCUAAGACGGGUAGCAGGUGUGAGAGCACGGCCUGCCACAUCGAAACUGAGACACUGUUCGGACUCCUACGGGAGGCUGCAGCGACGAAUCUUCCGCAAUGGGCGAAAGCCUGACGGAGCGAUGCCGCGUGUGGGAUGAAGCGGCUUUGCCGUGUAAACCACUGUCAGGGAAUAGAAAUCAUGAUCAUUUCCAAAGGAAGGGGCGACUAACUCUGUGCCAGCAGUCGCGGUAAGACAGAGGCCCCGAGCGUUAGUCGGAAUCACUGGGCUUAAAGGGUGCGUAGGCGGACUUGUAAGUGUCGUGUGAAAGCCCAUGGCUUAACCAUGGAACCGCACGGCAAACUGUGAGUCUUGAGGUAGGUAGAGGCGGGUGGAACGAAUGGUGGAGCGGUGGAAUGCGUAGAUAUCAUUCGGAACGCCAAAGGUGAAGACAGCCCGCUGGGCCUUACCUGACGCUGAGGCACGAAAGCGUGGGGAGCAAACAGGAUUAGAUANNCUGGUAGUCCACGCCCUAAACGAUGUACACUUGGUUAGAGCAGCUCUGACGCUGUUCGGACCGAAGAGAAAUUGUAAGUG
rnacentral:rRNA from 1 species